AUACCCAUGAGCUUCAGCCCCCGAAUUCACGGCCAGGUAAAAACGCGUUCAAUACGCCACUCAACGCGCAUGAGCAUUGCGACCAUCAGAUUAAUUCCACCCUCAAACGAAAAGAUCGAAACAAAACUCACCUCGAGGUCCGGGGUACUCUUCUCCUCGUGGUUGAUUUGGACGAAGAUGAAGCCUUCGUGUUCGGAUUCGUGCGUUGUGUUGUUGUGAUGAAGACUGAAUACGAAGUUUGGUUCAGCUCCUUGCGUUGCAUUGUUGUAAUGAGGUGAAGAAUUAAGAUGAUAUUUGAUUUGUGCCUUGCGUGGAGGUGAAGAGGAAGACGUUCGAACUCGCGUCUCUGCAAUUUGUGACGAAACUCGAGGCAAUGCAUUGGAAUUAUGGUUGUCAUUAGCCUUGGGGAUUGGUCGUGUUUUGGAAUGCUAUGGACUGUAAACCAGAGCUGCUUGGAUGCUUGUUGUACUUUGGAAUUGAUUAGAUUUAUAAUGAAAUAAUUUGGAUGUAAGUAUGACUUGAUGUAUGUAUAUUGAAUGUAUGUAUGGAAAUGUUGAUGUAUCAAUGGAAUUUAUAUGAACAUGGUUGUAAUGGUUGUAAUUGUAAUGUGAUAUAAUGGUUGAAUAUAUGAAUUUUGUUUAAUGGAAA